GAUGAACGCUGGCGGCGUGCCUAAUACAUGCAAGUCGAGCGAACGGACGAGAAGCUUGCUUCUCUGAUGUUAGCGGCGGACGGGUGAGUAACACGUGGAUAAUCUACCUAUAAGACUGGGAUAACUUCGGGAAACCGGAGCUAAUACCGGAUAAUAUUUUGAACCGCAUGGUUCAAAAGUGAAAGACGGUCUUGCUGUCACUUAUAGAUGGAUCCGCGCUGCAUUAGCUAGUUGGUAAGGUAACGGCUUACCAAGGCAACGAUGCAUAGCCGACCUGAGAGGGUGAUCGGCCACACUGGAACUGAGACACGGUCCAGACUCCUACGGGAGGCAGCAGUAGGGAAUCUUCCGCAAUGGGCGAAAGCCUGACGGAGCAACGCCGCGUGAGUGAUGAAGGUCUUCGGAUCGUAAAACUCUGUUAUUAGGGAAGAACAUAUGUGUAAGUAACUGUGCACAUCUUGACGGUACCUAAUCAGAAAGCCACGGCUAACUACGUG
rnacentral:rRNA from 1 species